GGGCGGAUAGCUCAGCUGGUAGAGCACUGGACUGAAAAUCCAGGUGUCGCCGGUUCAAAUCCGGCUCCGCCCACCA
rnacentral:tRNA from 1 species